CCGAUAGUGAACCAGUACCGUGAGGGAAAGGCGAAAAGAACCCCGGCGAGGGGAGUGAAAAAGAACCUGAAACCGUGUACGUACAAGCAGUGGGAGCCUCUUUAUGGGGUGACUGCGUACCUUUUGUAUAAUGGGUCAGCGACUUAUAUUCUGUAGCAAGGUUAACCGAAUAGGGGAGCCGAAGGGAAACCGAGUCUUAACUGGGCGUUAAGUUGCAGGGUAUAGACCCGAAACCCGGUGAUCUAGCCAUGGGCAGGUUGAAGGUUGGGUAACACUAACUGGAGGACCGAACCGACUAAUGUUGAAAAAUUAGCGGAUGACUUGUGGCUGGGGGUGAAAGGCCAAUCAAACCGGGAGAUAGCUGGUUCUCCCCGAAAGCUAUUUAGGUAGCGCCUCGUGAAUUCAUCUCCGGGGGUAGAGCACUGUUUCGGCAAGGGGGUCAUCCCGACUUACCAACCCGAUGCAAACUGCGAAUACCGGAGAAUGUUAUCACGGGAGACACACGGCGGGUGCUAACGUCCGUCGUGAAGAGGGAAACAACCCAGACCGCCAGCUAAGGUCCCAAAGUCAUGGUUAAGUGGGAAACGAUGUGGGAAGGCCCAGACAGCCAGGAUGUUGGCUUAGAAGCAGCCAUCAUUUAAAGAAAGCGUAAUAGCUCACUGGUCGAGUCGGCCUGCGCGGAAGAUGUAACGGGGCUAAACCAUGCACCGAAGCUGCGGCAGCGACACUAUGUGUUGUUGGGUAGGGGAGCGUUCUGUAAGCC
rnacentral:rRNA from 1 species